AUUGAACGCUGGCGGCAGGCCUAACACAUGCAAGUCGAGCGGAUGAAGGGAGCUUGCUCCUGGAUUCAGCGGCGGACGGGUGAGUAAUGCCUAGGAAUCUGCCUGGUAGUGGGGGAUAACGUCCGGAAACGGGCGCUAAUACCGCAUACGUCCUGAGGGAGAAAGUGGGGGAUCUUCGGACCUCACGCUAUCAGAUGAGCCUAGGUCGGAUUAGCUAGUUGGUGGGGUAAAGGCCUACCAAGGCGACGAUCCGUAACUGGUCUGAGAGGAUGAUCAGUCACCCUGGAACUGGGACACGGUCCAGACUCCUACGGGAGGCAGCAGUGGGGAAUAUUGGACAAUGGGCGAAAGCCUGAUCCAGCCAUGCCGCGUGUGUGAAGAAGGUCUUCGGAUUGUAAAGCACUUUAAGUUGGGAGGAAGGGCAGUAAGUUAAUACCUUGCUGUUUUGACGUUACCAACAGAAUAAGCACCGGCUAACUUCGUG
rnacentral:rRNA from 1 species